rnacentral:rRNA from 1 species
AUACGGAGGGUGCAAGCGUUAUUCGGAAUCACUGGGCGUAAAGGGUGCGUAGGCGGUUUGAUAAGUCUGAUGUGAAAUCCUAUGGCUCAACCAUAGAACUGCAUUGGAAACUGUCAGACUAGAAUACUGAAGGGGCAGAUGGAAUUAGUGGUGUAGGGGUAAAAUCCGUAGAUAUCACUAGGAAUACCGAAAGCGAAAGCGAUCUGCUGGGAAGUUAUUGACGCUGAGGCACGAAAGCGUGGGUAGCAAACAGGAUUAGAAACCCUAGUAGUCC